GAUGAACGCUAGCUACAGGCUCAACACAUGCAAGUCGAGGGGAAACGACAUCGAAAGCUUGCUUUUGAUGGGCGUCGACCGGCGCACGGGUGAGUAACGCGUAUCCAACCUGCCCACCACUUGGGGAUAACCUUGCGAAAGUAAGACUAAUACCCAAUGAUAUCUCUAGAAGACAUCUGAAAGAGAUUAAAGAUUUAUCGGUGAUGGAUGGGGAUGCGGCUGAUUAGCUUGUUGGCGGGGUAACGGCCCACCAAGGCUACGAUCAGUAGGGGUUCUGAGAGGAAGGUCCCCCACAUUGGAACUGGGACACGGUCCAAACUCCUACGGGAGGCAGCAGUGAGGAAUAUUGGUCAAUGGGCGAGAGCCUGAACCAGCCAAGUAGCGUGCAGGAUGACGGCCCUAUGGGUUGUAAACUGCUUUUAUAAGGGAAUAAAGUGAGCCUCGUGAGGCUUUUUGCAUGUACCUUAUGAAUAAGGACCGGCUAAUUCCGUGCCAGCAGCCGCCGUAA
rnacentral:rRNA from 1 species